rnacentral:piRNA from 1 species
UGUCAGCUCAACUUUAGAAGGGCAAGUCA